ensembl:lncRNA
UCAUCAGCACUUGCUGUUUUUCACCUUCCUAGUUUUUGCCAAGCAGAUAAGCCAGUAUUCCUGUGUGGUUCUAAUUUCUCUGAUUAAUGGUGAGGACAAAGAUUUCUUUAUAGACUUAAUAGCCUUCUAUGAAUUGCCUUUUUGUGUGUCUUGCUUAUUUUCCUAUUGGAUUUCCUGUAUUUUUCUUACUGAUUGUAGGAGUUGCUUGUGUAUUGGAUAACAAGCCCAUUUAUUCGUAAAUAAAGGAAGCUUUGUAAUGGCCAAAGCCCUUUAGCCUGUUAAAGCAGAACUGUCACCAUUGUAUAUUAUUUUAUUUUGAAUGGGUCAUACAUAUGUAUAAAACAUACACGUAAAAUGUGAAUAAUAGUUAUAAAUAAAGACUCAGGUGCCACUGCUCCAGUGAUGGCCUCAACACCAUUUAUUAUUCGUCUCCGACUGGAGAUGUCACCUUUAGCAUACACUAUGGACAUCUGUAUACUUAGAUCUAUUUCUGGACUUUCUAUUUAAUUUUCCAUUUUUGGAUGUCGUUAUCAAGAAUGAAUGUUGAUUUUUUUUCCAAUGCCUUUUCAGCUUAGAUGGAGAUGGUCAUACGACUUUUCUCCUCCUGCUGAAUCACUCUUUGCCUGCCUGGAAUAAGCUCCCUUUGAUCAUGUUAUCUCAUUAUUUUAAUGUGCUGUGGAACUCUUCUGGCUGUUAUUUAACUUAGGAUUGUCCCUCAACAUCUCAGGUUGGUGGGCAUCGCAAGAUGUUCCUGUCUUCAAAGAAUUGCCCUUGGCCAAAUGGAAGCAGCCUGGGCCAAUCAAUCAUUUACACAUUCCCAACUGGAGACAGCUCACAACUCAUAACUUGCUGGCAUGGGAGCGCAGAGGUCUAGCCCUUGGCUUCAAGUCAAGACUUUUCUCUACUGUGAUCCUCCCUGGGUCUUUCUUCAAGUUUCUAAGAAGGUACUAGGAAACAGACUUCUCAUUAAGAAAAGAAUAACAUUCCCAGACCCUAUUUCCUUCAACGGCUUAACUACAGUUCCUUCUCUUCUUCAAGGCAAGAGGACACUCAGUUACAAACUCAUGGAAGGAGCAGAAAAACUACCACUAUUGAAGACCUACCAUGUGGGAGCUGUGGACACUGUAGACCCAGAUGUGAAGCCCACUCAGUUUCUUACUAUGUAUCAUCAACAAGUCGCUUGAUAACCUCUCUGAUAUCUCAUUGAUAAAAUGGAAAUAAGAGUGUCAUCUAGCUAAGUUGAGUGAAGAGUAAAAAUAAUAUAUGUAAGGCUGGGUGCAGUGGCUCACACCUAUAAUCCCAGCACUUUGGGAGGCUGAGGCAGAAGAAUUGCUUGAGCUCAGGAGUUCAAGACUAGCCUGGGCAGCAUGAUGAAAAAAUUUUUUAAAAUUUUUUAAAAAUUAUCCAGGAGUAGUGGUGCACACUUGUAGUCCCAGCUCCUCAGGAGACUGAAGUGGGAGGAUCACCUGAGCCUGGGUAGUUGGGGCUGCAGUGAGCCAAAGCAAGACUCUGUCUCAAAAAAAAAAAAAAAUGUGUGUGUGUGUGUGUGUGUUAAGCAUAGAACAACCAUUCCAUAAAUAUAACCAACUUUUCUGCAAAGAACUUCUCAGCAUUAUCCCAUUUAAUCUUCACAACCACCCUGAGAAAGGAGGCAUUAUUCUUAUUUUUACAUUUUAGAAAGCAGACUACUCAUAAAUACAUUGCACAAUUUGUAAGUAAACCACCUUAGAUCUGAACCCCAGUGUGACUGAUUCCAAAGUCCAUGCUCAGUUUACUGUGGCAUACCGUCAUGCAAAGUGCAUAGGAACAGGAAAGACAGCCUCUGGACCAAACUAAGGUCAAAAUGACUCUGUAUCUAAUGGCUCAAAGAACACUUGUUGAUCUAACCUGAAUUUUAAGGAUGUCAUUUGUGUCUUCUUAAUAAAUGAUAGAAUAAUUUGAAAUGACAUUUUCAUUAUCACCUCAAACCAUAAUGCCAAAUGACUGCUGGUGACAUGUUGAUUACUAUGCUGUUACACUGACGGAUCUUUUUUCACCUAUCUUCUUCCAUAGCUGGUACUGACAUCAUCACCACCACUGACGUCACCACUAGCACUGCUGGUAUUAAAUAAUGUCGAUGACAGACCUAAAAAUCUUUAUUAUCAGGUCAGUGAUACUUUGCUUUUAAGGCAAAUUAUGUAGGCUAAAGUUUUGGCUUUAAAAACCCAUCAACCAAGAAUUAGAAGGUACAUUUCAAUUCCCAGAUUUCAGGAGAAUGUUAACAUGGUCAUUUCACAGAUGAGAGAACUCAGCCUCAGUGAUUCUAAGUAUUUCUGAAAACCUCAUGCUCACAGUUCUCUGAGACUCAAAUCUGAAAAUCAUUAGCCAGGCUACUGUAAGCUAUCUUAAUGGCUGUGGUUGUAGAUGAGGGAGAGAAAAACUUCUAACAAAAAUGGGUCACAAACUAUCUAGGCUUGAUUUAAUCAGUUAUGUAAAUUAGCUUCAGACCCACGAAGUAAGCCCAUGAAGAAAAAAUAAUCAGGCUAGGUGGAAAAAUAAAUGACCAUAUGCAGACAUAUUUUAAAUUAAAGUAUAUUUUAAAGGCACAGCGAUCUGUACAUUGCAACCUUUAGCUGCACACAAUAGAAGCCAAAUAAGCAUUUGAGGAAGGGAGGGAGGGAGAGAAGGAGGGAAGGAAGGAGAGAGGGAGGGAGGGAGGCUGUCAGUAUUCACUGAUGGCCAGUGCAUCACUUCUAACCCUAAGAAGAAUAUGAAGAAAUGGUGAAAAAUUGUUAAUUCCAAUGUUGUAGGGCUUAAUCAUUUUUAACUGAUCUGCAGUCCUGGCAUGCAGCAUGAAUUCAAUUUGCCACCAAAUUUGAAUGUACAACUCUCUGGAAAAAAGAUCACUAAAGAUUACAAAGCAUAGUGUAAUCUUGUCUAUUCUCAUAAAAGCUGUUCAAUCAACACUCUUUUUCAAAAGCAAUCAAACAAACCUAGUUGAGUUCAACCAAAAGAAUGAGGGCCCUGCCCCCAGCAAUGUGGCUACUAUAAUGAGGUAAUGACCUUCACACACACACGCACGCACACACUAUUGUUUGAAGACACUGGUUAACUGUAAAGUACUAUCAUGGGAGUUUUAACCCUCAGGGGACUCACUAGUGGUUUGGCCUGAAGCUGCGCACUAUGCAAAUUUAAGGUGGUGUGUGUUGUUGUUGUUGUUGUUGUUGUCAUUGCUAUCAAAUAUGAUUCAAUAAAACCACAAUCACAUCACGAAGUGAUGCAUGGUUAACCCAAAGUGCACAGAUAGCAUCCACCAGGCCAGCACAGAACAAAGCUCUUUAUCGAGAAAUAACUUUCCUGAACAGCAAAGUCCUUCGCAUACCUAUGAAGUGCUCGGUAAUGUUUGAAAAACAGACCUAAGCUGAAGCACUCCCUGACUCUCCAUGGAGCCUUCUUCAAACAUCUCACGGACAAGGCAGCAUAAUAAGAACAAUACAAAUAGUAACAGGUACUAUUUGUUCACACCAACUAUUGUAAUAAGUUAAACAUGCUAAUCAUUUUACAUCCAUCACUUCAUUUCAUCCCUACAACAAAUUUAUGAAGUCUAUACUGUCAUUAUUCUCAUUUCACAUAGGAGGGAACUGAGGCUCAGAUAUGUCAUUUGCCCAAAGGCAAACAACAGAUAGUAAGCAAUAAGAAUGAGCUUCCAACCAGAUUUCUGUAACUGCAAUAACUGUGCUCUUAACCACACGUGAGGCUUUAAUGUCCCUAUCGCCCCUUCAUGUCAGAGAAAGAAAUAUAAUCACAAAGUGGUGAAUAAGCAGUUAAAAGAAUGGCUGACAGUCCCAGGUUCCCUUGCGUUUGAAAAACCCAGGUUAUUAAAUCUGCCUUUUGUAACUGGGAAUUCCACAGGACAUGCAAAUCCAUGGGUUGCAAUUAAUAUACAUUCACACAAAAGCGUCCAG